AUUGAACGCUGGCGGCAGGCCUAACACAUGCAAGUCGAACGAGUGGCGGACGGGUGAGUAAUGUCUGGGAAACUGCCUGAUGGAGGGGGAUAACUACUGGAAACGGUAGCUAAUACCGCAUACCAUCAGAUGUGCCCAGAUGGGAUUUGCUAGUUGGUGGGGUAACGGCUCACCAAGGCGACGAUCCCUAGCUGGUCUGCGCGGAGGACCAGCCACACUGGAACUGAGACACGGUCCAGACUCCUACGUGAGGCAGCAGUGGGGAAUAUUGCACCAUGGGCGCAAGCCUGAUGCAGCCAGGCCGCGUGUAUGAAGAAGGCCUUCGGGUUGUAAAGUACUUUCAGCGGGGAGGCGUUACCCGCAGAAGAAGCACCGGCUAACUCCGUGCCAGCCGCCGCGGUAAUUC
rnacentral:rRNA from 1 species